rnacentral:ncRNA from 1 species
UCAAGCAGAGGACGGAACUGGCGGCCGUCGCCCAUUGUUAGGAAAUGUGGGAGUGCCACCCCACCUGCUUGU